AUUUUAAAAGAAUAUGAACAAAAAUAAUAAAAGUAGAUAAGGGUGUGUAGGGGCAUUAGGCAGCAUGCCCCUUUAAAAACCACGCAUCCUUGAGGCUCCUGUCUGGGCUGUGUGCCAGCACUCACAAUGAUAAGAGUCCUGGGCUUGGCCAACCCAGCUGCUUUCUUGUGGGAGAGUUAGCACCAAGACCCUCAUGGUCUGAGGGAACACAGAGGCUCUUGGGGGGGUGGGGGUCAGGGGUUCUGGUCCUUGGAAUGCUGGUCAUAAAGGAACGAUCUCCCUUGGCAAGUAUGCAGCCUUUGUUUCUCUGCCGGCUUAAGUCAAGCUUCUUUCUGUGAGGUAGCGGAUGCACAUUGCUGCCUGGCCGGCAGCCAUGGGACCUUCCCUCUUUCCUGCAGAGGUUCACCCAGGACCACUCUGUGACAAUUCAGGCUGCCUGGCUCCUUUGGCUGGACAGUGACUUCUGAACCAGAGUGAAGACAAUGAUCUCAGCAUGGUGCCCUAACUCUGCUCCCAAAGUCUCCUUAGAAGUGAGCCCAGAGAUGGUGGGAUACUGCCACUGCAUGAUAAGUGGUGUGUAGGUCUGCGCCCAGGAUCCAAAACAGUGAACCUCAGGCCACCAAAGCAGAGCGUGCGAACUUAAACUGCUACACCACUGGCCAGGCCCCUGAUUCAUUGUUCUUAAUGCAGGCAUGACUUGAUGUGCAGUGUGUAGGUCCGUGCCUGAGAUCCAAACCUGCACACCCCGGGCCACUGGAGCAGAGUGCAUGAACUUAACCACUACACUAGCAGGCUGGCCCCAACAAUUGCCGUUCUUUGAGUAGAUAUUCCAGGGGAAUUGUGUCCAGGAGAAUAAGACCAAUUCUGUAGCAAGCUGCCAUGAUCAUUUACAGAAGCAUUGAGACGCUAGGACAGCUAAAAGUUUUGAGUUACUGUUUCAGGAAUGCCUAAUAUUAAUGUAAAUGGAACUGGUCAACAAAUGUUUACCAUAACGGACCGGAGGGUAAAUAUAUUUGGAUUGCCAGCCAUACGGUUUCAGUUACCCUAUUCAAAUAUGUCACUAUUGCAAAAUGGCCAUUGACGAUAAAUAAACAAAUGAGGUGGCCAGACUUGGCCCUUGGGCUGUAUUUUGACACUCCUGAUUAAUACAGUAUAAACACACACAUAUUUGUACAAAAGAAUAGAUUGAAA
rnacentral:lncRNA from 1 species